ACGGAAGGCAGCAGUAGGGAAUAUUGCACAAUGGGGGAAACCCUGAUGCAGCAACGCCACGUGUGGGAAGGAGCAUUUCGGUGUGUAAACCACUGUCGUGAGGGAAUAAGGCAUUGUUUCGGCGAUGUUGGAUGUACCUCGAAAGGAAGCACCGGCAAACUUCGUGCCAGCAGCCGCGGUAAUACGAGGGGUGCAAGCGUUGUUCGGAAUCACUGGGCGUAAAGGGAGCGCAGGCGGAGAUGCAAGCGGACUGUACAAUCCCGGGGCCCAACCCCGGACCUGCAGUCCGGACUGCACCUCUUGGAUAGUUCAGGGGCAAGCGGAAUUCCUGGUGUAGCGGUGGAAUGCGUAGAGAUCAGGAAGAACACCGAUGGCGAAGGCAGCUUGCUGGGGACUUAUCGACGCUCAUGCUCGAAAGUGCGGGUAGCAAACAGGAUUAGAUACCCUGGUA
rnacentral:rRNA from 1 species